UACGUAGGGAGCGAGCGUUAUCCGAAUUUAUUGGGUGUAAAGCGUGUGUAGGCGGUUUAAUAAGUCUAAGGUUUAAGUCCGAAGCUUAACUUCGGUGCGCUUUAGAAACUGUUUUACUUGAACGCGGUAGAGGCAAGUGGAAUUUCUAGUGUAGCGGUAAAAUGCUUAGAUAUUAGAAGGAACACCAGUGGCGAAGGCGACUUGCUGGGCCGUGAUUGACGCUGAGACACGAAAGCGUGGGGAGCAAAUA
rnacentral:rRNA from 1 species